UUUCUCUCUCCUCUCCCCUGUUCUCUCCUCUCCCCUGUUCUUCCUCUUGCUCUCUGGUCGGCGGUGGUCGAUCUCCUUCGCGCACCACCCAAUGUUCUUCGGUGUAGAUCGAGAUCCUUCACGCGGCACCAAAUUUAAAUGGAUUGUUCUUGAAUUCACUCCUCCCUCAAUUCUUAAUUGUGCUCUCUACCAUUAAUGACCAAGGUAUUGGAAGCUUUAACCGUGAUGACAGGAGGAUUUCUACUGCAAGUGAACAUCUAGGAUAUCACAAUGUUCAAACAAUCUCCUAGUAGGAAUAAUAGAUCUAAAGGAAUUAAAGUGAAGCACAUUUUGCAAAUCUGUGACUUGUUGGUUGUCUGCAUUUGGUUACUUUACCAAGUCAAGCAUUCUCAUGAGAAAAGGAAGGAAUUUGAGGCAAAGGAUGAGAAGGUGAAAAACAUUUGCAGGUAGAAGACAGUGAACUAGCUGAUGUAGCAGCUGUCAGCGGUGGCAACAACCCUGAGUGGGGAGUAUGAUUGCUGAAGCAAUGAGCAAAGUUGGAAGAAAAGGUGUUGUGACUCUUGAAGAAGGAAAAAGUGCUGAGAACAGUCUCUAUGUUGUUGAAAGGAUGCAGUUUGAUCGUGGUUAUAUUUCACCUUAUUUUGUUACUGAUGCUGAGAAAAUGACUGUGGAGUACGAGAACUGCAAGGUUUUCAAGUUUUUGUAAAACUACUAUGCAUAUUAAUUGGCAUUUUAUGGAAUAUAAUCCCGGUUUAUUGCUGGAAA